AGUGAACGCUGGCGGUAGACCUAACACAUGCAAGUCGAACGGCAGCACAGUAAGAGCUUGCUCUUACGGGUGGCGAGUGGCGGACGGGUGAGGAAUACAUCGGAAUCUACUUUUUCGUGGGGGAUAACGUAGGGAAACUUACGCUAUUACCGCAUACGACCUACGGGUGAAAGCAGGGGAUCUUCGGACCUUGCGCGAUUGAAUGAGCCGAUGUCGGAUUAGCUAGUUGGCGGGGUAAAGGCCCACCAAGGCGACGAUCCGUAGCUGGUCUGAGAGGAUGAUCAGCCACACUGGAACUGAGACACGGUCCAGACUCCUACGGGAGGCAGCAGUGGGGAAUAUUGGACAAUGGGCGCAAGCCUGAUCCAGCCAUACCGCGUGGGUGAAGAAGGCCUUCGGGUUGUAAAGCCCUUUUGUUGGGAAAGAAAAGCAGCAGGUUAAUACCCCGCUGUUCUGACGGUACCCAAAGAAUAAGCACCGGCUAACUUCGUG
rnacentral:rRNA from 1 species